rnacentral:rRNA from 1 species
AGAGUUUGAUCCUGGCUCAGAUUGAACGCUGGCGGCAGGCUUAACACAUGCAAGUCGAGCGGAUGAAGGUAGCUUGCUACUGGAUUCAGCGGCGGACGGGUGAGUAAUGCUUAGGAAUCUGCCUAUUAGUGGGGGACAACGUUCCGAAAGGAGCGCUAAUACCGCAUACGUCCUACGGGAGAAAGCAGGGGACCUUUGGGCCUUGCGCUAAUAGAUGAGCCUAAGUCGGAUUAGCUAGUUGGUAGGGUAAAGGCCUACCAAGGCGACGAUCUGUAGCGGGUCUGAGAGGAUGAUCCGCCACACUGGGACUGAGACACGGCCCAGACUCCUACGGGAGGCAGCAGUGGGGAAUAUUGGACAAUGGGGGGAACCCUGAUCCAGCCACGCCGCGUGUGUGAAGAAGGCCUUUUGGUUGUAAAGCACUUUAAGCGAGGAGGAGGCUACCUAGAUUAAUACUUUAGGAUAGUGGACGUUACUCGCAGAAUAAGCACCGGCUAACUCUGUGCCAGCAGCCGCGGUAAUACAGAGGGUGCGAGCGUUAAUCGGAUUUACUGGGCGUAAAGCGUGCGUAGGCGGCCAAUUAAGUCAAAUGUGAAAUCCCCGAGCUUAACUUGGGAAUUGCAUUCGAUACUGGUUGGCUAGAGUAUGGGAGAGGAUGGUAGAAUUCCAGGUGUAGCGGUGAAAUGCGUAGAGAUCUGGAGGAAUACCGAUGGCGAAGGCAGCCAUCUGGGCCUAAUACUGACGCUGAGGUACGAAAGCAUGGGGAGCAAACAGGAUUAGAUACCCUGGUAGCCCAUGCCGUAAACGAUGUCUACUAGCCGUUGGGGCCCUUGAGGCUUUAGUGGCGCAGCUAACGCGAUAAGUAGACCGCCUGGGGGAGUACGGUCG